UAAGGAAUAUUGGUCAAUGGGCGAAAGCCUGAACCAGCCAUCCCGCGUGCAGGAUGAAGGUCCUAUGGAUUGUAAACUGCUUUUAUCAGGGAAGAAACGCCUUCAUUUAUGAGGGUCUGACGGUACCUGAGGAAUAAGCACCGGCUAACUCCGUGCCAGCAGCCGCGGUAAUACGGAGGGUGCGAGCGUUAUCCGGAAUCACUGGGUUUAAAGGGUGCGUAGGCGGGAAAUUAAGUCAGUGGUGAAAGCCUGUCGCUUAACGAUAGAAUUGCCAUUGAUACUGAUUUUCUUGAAUUGGGUUGAGGUUAGCGGAAUGUGACAUGUAGCGGUGAAAUGCAUAGAUAUGUCAUGGAACACCAAUUGCGAAGGCAGCUAGCUGGGCCUUGAUUGACGCUGAGGC
rnacentral:rRNA from 1 species